rnacentral:rRNA from 1 species
AUGGACAUGGCACGCUACGUUGCGUUCCACCAGCAGUGGAUCGCGGGCCAGCAGGCGGGCCUCCGCGAGCUCGCGGAGGCGGCAGCCAAUGCCGCCGCCGAGCGCGCCACGGACGCGGAGCUGAGGGCCGUGGUGGAGAGGUGCAUGCGCGGGUACCAGGAGUACGCCGCCAGCCGGCGUGCCAUGGCGCGCGAGAACGGUGCGGCCUUCGUCGCCCCGCCGUGGUGCACGGCGUUUGAGAACUCCGUGCUCUGGCUCGGGGGCUGCCGGCCGUCGCUGGCAAUCCGGCUGCUCUACUCCAUCUCCGGCGAAGGCCUGGAGGAGGACAUCGAGGAGUUCGUCAGCGGCCGCGGUCGCGGCCUCGCAGAGGAGAUGGGCCUCAUCGGGAUCACGGCCACGCAGCUGCAGCAGAUCAAUGAUCUCCACCGCUGCACGCUGCGCGACGAGGGUUACCUGACGGAGCGCCUCGCGAGUCUGCAGGAGAACAUCGCCGACCGGCCGCUGCUUCCGAUCGUCCGGGAGCGCGCCGCGGCGGCGGCAGCAUUAGUCGGCCAGGGCCGGAGCGCUAAGCGCGACGACAUUGCCGGACGGCUCGCGGCAGCAGAAUCGUCAGGAGGACUCGCGGCCGAGGUGGACGCGGCGAUGGAGAGCUACUCGGCCGGGCUGGCCAGGCUCCUGGAGGAAGCGGACGAGCUACGCAUGUCGACGGCCAGGGCACUGGCAACGGAGAUAUUGACGCCGCGGCAGGCGGUGGAGAUGCUGGUGGCAGCCAAGCAGCUGCACCUGGCGGUGCGCGACUGGAGCCGCCGGAAGGAGGAGGGCGCCCAGAACGCGCGUCUGCCGCGCGCAGCCGCAGCGACGACCGCCCCUUCCGGCUGA